CUCCGUUCCUUUGAGGUUUAUGAUCCACUUUCCAAGCGCUGGUCUCCACUUCCUCCUAUGGGAACCAGAAGAGCAUAUCUUGGGGUGGCAGCACUCAAUGACUGCAUUUAUGCUAUUGGAGGGUGGAAUGAGACACAAGACGCCCUUCAUACUGUAGAAAAAUACUCCUUUGAAGAGGAAAAGUGGAUUGAAGUUGCUUCAAUGAAAGUGCCUAGAGCAGGCAUGUGUGUUGUGGCAGUCAAUGGUCUUCUGUAUGUUUCUGGAGGCCGAUCUUCUAGCCAUGAUUUCUUGGCCCCAGCCUUACUUCUACAGCCCAGGUUAACGGUGAACUCUCAACAUUCUAUCUGCUUCAGCCUGCCAAGUGUAUGAGCCACCACACAUGGCUAUACCUGAAGUCCCAUCUACUGGAGGAAGCUGAGGACAAAUGCUUAAGGCUACAUAAAGUACUAGAGUCGGGAGAAAGAAUUACAGCAGGGAUAGAGAGCUCACGAAACAACACCUCCUCACAUGCACUAACCCCGCACUUAGUGCCUCAAUAAACAACAAAAAAAAAAUCAAA
rnacentral:lncRNA from 1 species